GUUGACGAGCGGNGGACUGGGUAGUAAUGUCUGGGAAACUGCCUGAUGGAGGGGGAUAACUANUGGAAACGGUAGCUAACACGCAUAACGUCUGCAAGACCAAAGAGGGGGACCCUUCGGGCCUCUUGCCAUCANAUGUGCCCAGAUGGGAUUAGCUAGUAGGGUGGGGUAACGGCUCACCUAGGCGACGAAUCCCUAGCUGGUCUGAGAGGGAUGAACCGAGGCCACACUGGGAACUGAGAACACGGUCCAGACUCCUACGGGAGGCACGCAGUGGGGAAUAUUGCACCAAUGGGGCGCAAGGCCUGAUUGCAAGCCAUGCCGGCGUUGUANUUGACANCGACCGGGCCUUCGGGGGUUUGUACAACGUACUUUUUCAGGAGCNGAGGGGACGAGAAACGGUUGCUCAGUUGGCGUCGAAAGUACAUCCNAACAAGCAGCAAUUGACCCUGUUCACCCCAGCACAGAAAAGAGNACAGGCAAACCGCGGGGUAAGACGCGAUACCACGAUGGACCCGAAGGGCGAGGACCACAAGGCCGGGGUAAAACAUCCCCGAGGCAGGACAGGGCGGUUGCGGCAAAACGACANGUCUCAACAGU
rnacentral:rRNA from 1 species